CCAACCUGCACUCAUCUAUCACCAUCCGAACUACCUUCUCCAGCCCCACCCCUCCUCUCUCUAUUUAUUUCUGAGCUCCCCGCCACCUCCACAUUUCUGAAGAAGAGUCCUGACCCAAAACAUCAACUUUCCUGCUCUUCUGAUGCUGCCUGGCCUGCUGUGUUCCUCCAGCUCCACACUUUGUUAUCUCUGACUCCAGCAUUUGCAGUUCUUGCUAUCUCUGAUGGACCCUACACGACACCUGGCACACCCCCAGCUAAUCGUUCCUUUGUGGGAAUAGGACCAAGGGAUCCUGGCAGCCUUUAUCAGCCACAGUCCUGGUAUCUGGGAUAGUUGAAGUCCCCUUUCAAGUAUUACAGAAGCUAUUUAAUCAUGUUUCCAGAAACAUGGUCGAGCGUCAACUUUGGUUUCAAGUUUAAAACAGAGAGAAACAAGGGAGAAGACUAUUUAUCGACUCGCCUUUAAAAGAAAAUGAAAAGUCAGAAACACUAUCAUCCUACCAACAUGUUCCGAAGAUGGGUGCAAUUCACUUCUUCCAUUGGCUGAAGCUUAGCCUGAGGUUUCCCCAUCUGUUUUAUGCAAAUAAGCCUUUAUACUUCUUAAAAAAAAAUUCAGAACAAAGUUUACUAAAUCUGCUUUCGAAAGGGUGGGAAAAUUAACAUUCAUCAAUCAAACAUAAUUCAAAGUUACAUUAUGGUUUUCUUUUGAUUUCUCCUUUUAAAAGAGUAAAGAUAGCAUUAUUUACACAAAGGAUGGAUGCGCAGUAUUGUGCAUAAUCAUUUAGAAGUCAUCCAAACUUAGCCUUCAAGUGCUGAAAUGCACAGAAUGAGUGUAUCUGUGCAUUGGAAUACCUGAGGUCGAUUAAAAGUUAUCACAGUUUAAGACAAUUCUUCACAUUUAUUUAAAUCAUUCUUGAUUAUAAUCAUUGUGAACAGUCUUUGUUUACUAACUUUAUUGCAAAGUUCUAAACAUCACAAAAACAUGCACUAAUGAAGCCUACACAUUGGAGACCAUCACUUCAAUACGGCUAAUUCAUUAGCUUGACAUCAAGUUAUUUUCCUUGUUUCUAUUUCAGACAUUUGGGCAAGCUAAACAUAAGAAAGGAUAUUUUUCUACUACACAAAUAAAUGUGUUUAAUGCAAUGAUAAAAAAAUCAAUCAAUUGUUCAGACUGACAUAUUUAAAAUUAGACAGUUCCUUGGUACCAACGUUGCAGGUCAAAUUAACCAGGGCGAUAUUUCCUAGUCCAAACCUGUCAAUUACUGGGAACAUCAUGAAGCAAAUUCUGUUUUGUUGCCUAUAAACUAAAGAAGAUAAUGAAUAGAUUCAGUGUUAGAAACAUCCUGCACCACAGGUUGGUCGGUGAAUGAUUUAAUUUGCCUAAAACUUUAAACACAUUUUCAGAAUUAUUUAACCACAGCAUCCAUAAAGCAAACCAUUCAGUAAUGUUGCUACUAUUUCUCAAUUACAAUUUUCCCACCCUACUUAGUUUUUGCAUGUAGCUAAUAGCACAGAUGCAGAUGCUCAUCUACCAGAGCAGUAGUUUUAUCGGUUUAGUUAUUAUCGCUUCUUCACUAAUGCAUGCCAUACACCAUAAAAUACAUACCUAGCUUUUGUUGAUAGUAUUGGGAGGCAAAGGGUGGCUGCAGAUUGAGUGUGGGGAAGUUCUUCAUACACAAUGCAAGUGCAAGGCCUCACGCUAGCAUACAUACUUUACCUUUCCCUCCUGGCUACAGGUUGCAUUUAUUUUCAAAAUUAAACAUACAAAUAGCUGCAAACUCAGAGUAUCUUUAGCUUAGUGGAAUACAUUUUGGGAGCAGGGUAGAAAAUUGUUUCAAGAUCAAUAUUUUUGUGUUUUUUUUAAUUGUAAAGUUAAACACAAUGUAUUCAGCCCUCCGCCCCUCCCCAGGUAAUCACACCUUUCUGCCAGUAGCUUAUUUCACAAAAGAACAGAAGCAGAAUUGAGCAAGGUCUAACUUGGUUUCAAAUUCAUUCUUGGGAAGCUAACGUCCAAUCAGUAAUCAACUUUAGGUUGGGGAAAUAAAGGAAGUGGUUGCUUUUAAAGGAACAGGUUAACUGCCUGUUUAAGCAAAGACAAAAAAAAAAUCUUUUGAAAAGAUUUAAGAGGCAAGUGCAAUUGAAAGGAAACAAUUUUGUAUCUUAGUGAUUCUUUGUAACUUGUCCUUGUACCCCAGGACUGUAAACAGGGGAAAAUUGUCGCUAGGCGACUGUGGCACAAAAGUGCACCCAAACCCCUUCCCCCACCCACCUUUCACAGGUGAACACAAAUGCCUUAGUCAGUAUGUUACUUGUUUUUUUUAAAUCAGAGGGUAGCCAGCUGCACUGUCAUAAAAUUAAAAAGACAGCACUUGUGCACAGAAUAUCAUUCGUUAAACUGACACAUAUCGAAAGCAAUAUUUGGCAUAAUUUAGUUCUGUUCACAACUGAACGUUUUUGACAAAAGUAGCUUGCAUCUGAACAAAUUUCUGUCCGUGUAAGCUUAUAUUUCUUGGUUAGGUACAGCUUUCCCUGAGCUAAAUGCUGGCAUCCAAACCUCACGAGUGUAAACAGCAACAGUGAGGCAAACUCUAAACGUAUUUAUAUUGACAUUUUUUUUCAUCAAAGGUGCUGAGUUAUGCAUGGUGCUUUGAUAGUAAACUUUGUGAUCCAGCAAAAAAAGAUCAGCUGAAUUGCUGAAUUCUGACGUGCAUGGCAACUAUGUGCGGGCUUCACUCUUUUCCCUACAAAAUCCUUUCCUAAUUUGCACGGAAUUUUAUACCACAUUAUGUGCCUUGCCUUUGAGAAAAAAUGUUUAAAAAAUCGUUGGUAUCACUGCACAAUCUUUUGGCUGCAUGUAUGGUUGCUUGUCAUUAAAAAAAAAUUGCCAUUGGUAAAAAUGUAAGGGUUUAUGAUUUUUGCUUCAUAGGACAUUGUAACAGCACUAAUUAUCAGUAUUCCAGUGAUUCUGUGGACUUUCGUAUAGAAUAUAUUCAUCUUGCGGUCAUGUAGGAACAUUGCUUUUGGACGUUAUUUGUCACUAAUACUUUAAUGGAAAGUGUUUCACUUUUGAUUCUCCCUACUUGCGUCUUCCAGCUCCUUUUAUUUUGAAUUUUUGGAAAAUAUGCAAUACCAGUCUUGUCUAUAGUGAUAGAGCAUUUAGCUUGUUUAAUCAUUUUGAGUUAGCACACUUGAUAACUACAACAUCAUACUUUUCUAUUUUUUUUAAAUAUUAAUUUUGUUUUAAUUGACCAAAGUUGGUGCUGCUCUCUAUACAGAAAGAAAAAUAGGUCCUUCUCCUGUUAUAAAUAAUGCUUGAUGCAUGAUUAGGGAAGGCUGAAAAUGGGGUUGGGGGGGUGGGUAUGUAUAUUUACAGUACAGCUGUGAAGCACCACACUGGCAACACAUUAUAAAAACAAGUUUAGCCUUGUUUUAUUUUCCUGUGUGUUCUGGUGGCUAAAGCAUUGGAUGCUAGAUUAUAAUUUCCUUAAUCAAAAUAAACUGGACAGGCUCCAUUUCACAAAAUACAGUGGCAGCUGAUCAGGCAAUUGAUGUAGUAAAUCCACUGGGCCCAAUAUCUUGACCUAGUGUGGUACAAGCCUCUAUAAGUUGUAAAAUGUCAAACUGUUUUCAAUCAAGUAAAUGUUUUUCUUGCAUGUUAUUUCGGGAGAUUUGGAUUUCAACAGUGCAUUAAUCACUAAUUUUGACUAAAGAUAGGAUUCCUUUGAGCUACUUUUUUAAAAACUGUUAAGUUGAUUACAGCACUUGGUAAGCAGUACUUCUGUUGUCCUUUGUACCAGAAUCUGGUUCGAAAAGGAAAUAAGUCACAUCAUUUCUAUAGAUAUGUGCACUAUUCGGCCAGGCCCUAAAUGCUUCACAGCCUAAACUGUCAACUGGCCUGAACUUCAAGGAGAAGCUUCUAUUCUAGUCAGAAUAUGAAAAACCAUGAACUAAAGUUGUACAUAAAGAAUUGAAAAAACGAAUAACACAAAGCAAUAGUUGUGGGGUGUCAAUUUGGCAUGGUAGCAUUGUUCAACAAAAUUGCCAUCUACACAAAGGUGGAAUGAUAAAUGAUAACCAAGACAUAUAUAGCUCUGCUUCAAGACCCUACUAAUGUCUCCGAGCUUUAAUAAUUUGUGUUUGAUUGACACUUGGUAUGCUAACUGGGAUGCUGCACAAGGGGGACAAGAAAUAGGGGAAUAAUGCCAGCAAGUUUGAUCCUUGUCACAUCCUUGUCUUGGACAUUAGCUGCCUUCUUUGCAGACUGUGUAAUUUGUAAGCUGUAUAGUUUUAUUAAGUAUGUUUUACUUAAUCUACCCUAUUUUAUAAGGCAAAGACUUUUGUAAUGAGAAAAGUACAAAAAAAAAGUUUCAUUACACUGGCUUAUUAAGAAUGUUCAGCAUUAUAUACCAUUUGUAGAGUAUUCUUCCUCCAUGGGAACUGGAUUUGAGUUAAACUCUCCUGUUACCCUUAUUGUAUUUAAAUACGGUAAUUGUCCUCAUUUUUAUGGUUUUGCAUAUUCCUAUACUUUAAAAGUAUAGGCUUCUGGUGUAAAAGAGCCAUUGUAAAUGGAAGAAAUGCUUUAUUUUAUGAAGAGUAAUUAUGUCAAACUUGUAAGAAACACUUGGAAUUUUGAGAAGGAGUGUUGUCAUUGUAGUCUCUUUGACUGUUUUAAAGAAAAAAGUCUGUAGACUUUUCAAGUGCUAAACUGGUGGGAGUAGAACAGAUUAUGUGUACUCUUUGUAGGGCAAGGGAGCCCAACAAAUUGUUGUAUGCAAUGUACAGUAUUGUUUGUGCAAAGGACAAUGCAAUGCUGGUAGCUAGUUUAUUUUUAAGGCAGGACAGAAAACAUUGUUUACAUAUGUAUUCCAACCCUUGGCAAUGGCUGACUGCAUGCUCCGUGAAAUCCUUGUUUAAGAAUUCCUUUAGGGAAUUCUCUUCCAUCGUUCAGACUCUCAAGCAGGAUAGAAUGCUGCCACAGUCAAACAUGUGACUUAUUAUUAUUCCUAAAGGGGUUAUGAGUUGGCUGAUAACUUUUGUUGGGAAACGUAGGGUGAAUACUGUCACUAGUGCAGUUUUGCAGGCAUAGUUAUAUGUGGUGCAGACGAUGAGGUGAUCUUUGUCCCUUUAAUUGAGAAAUUUUCAUUAACCAUCUAGCCCUUCCGCAUUUGAUAGAACAUUCUAAAUAGUUACGGUCACCUCAUCAGUGUUUUUUUUCCUCUAACAUUCCAUUUUACAGUUGAUUGACACACCACUUAAUGCAACACACAUCAAACUCUUCCCACAUUCUCUUUAAAAAAGGGUCCUGAUGCCUCCAUUCUCCAAGUAUACUUUUAAAAUUUAUGACAGACAUUAACAUUUUUAAGUCCUGGCAGUUUUGAAACUUCAAUUUUUUACCUGUCAGAUGGAAAAGCAUUUUUUAAAAAUGGAAUGAAAUGUGCUUAAUGCCCAUUACUUUUAUUUUCAAUAAAAUGUAUCACUGAAUUUAUAAUCUCCAUGAUGAACGGUUGAUGGAUAUGUAAAGCAUCACUGAAUAACAUAAUUUUCAAUUAGAGUCCAAAAUAUAGUCAUGUUCAAGGUGAUAAAUAAAAUUUGUUCAAUGAAGUUUCUAACUAAAAUUUUCAUUAGAGAUACCCCAAGUUUCUAAAAACUAAAACUCUAAAAGGUACCAAUAAAUUUUGAGCUUUGUGAAACAAUGGGUGUUAAAACAAUCUGCUGCAGCAAAGAGCAUUGCUGAUCUAGGUGAUUGAUGUCCCCUAACUACUACUGCUUUGAUUUCACUGAUGCAAUGCUCCCAAGGAUAAAGCAGUUGUACUCCCCCUAACAGCUCAACUCACUAUUCAGUCUGCAUAGUAAAGACCUGCAAAACCUGUGUUGUAAGAUAGCAUGCACUAGAUGUCAAGACACCCAAUCAGGAACUGACAAAAUUUAUUUCCCUCCUCAAACCCUGGACAAAUUUGCACUGCUCCACAUCUUUCACCUUUUCCGUUUCUGCAAUAACUCGAGGCAGGGACUGAAACGGAACAAGCUGCCAUUGACAUUGCCAUUAGUCACAGCAUUAGUAAAGCCAACACCAUUCUUAGGUCUACACCACAGAUAUAUUUUUUCUAAGGUUUUAUCUAACCCCCUGCAAAAUGUGCCAGUUGCUUCAGUUAGCCUGAAGGGAAUAUGCAAAUUCCAUCACAAUUUCCAUUUCUUUUUUUCUCUGUUGUGCAGCUCCUUUGCAGCAAUGCGCAAUGACACACGUUAAGCAGCCAGAUUACGUUUUGUAGAAAGCAGUAGAUAUACUGGUAUUGUUGUUUCACAUACACAGCUCAUCUGAACAUCUGUAACUGGGUCUCUGGAAAUCUCUUUGAAAGACAGUAAGUGAAAAGGAAACACAUGAGUUCUCAAGGACAGCUAAAGAGACACCUGACUGCCUGUCAUUGUAAAGGCAUUUUCGUCAGGCUGUGCAAAACUCUGAAUUGCAAGAAAGUUUGUGAAGGUUCUUGUUGAUGUGUUAGUGCACAAAGCAUUUUUGGAAAUUCAGAUUUCCAUCUCUGUUGAUCAGGUUGAGAAGGUCUCAGCCUUGUUUACAUGGUAGGUGAGUGUUAAUUGGGUUCUGUGUGAUGUGGACUUUGCUGAGUCCAGUAUUCAUCCCUGUACAUUUUAACUGAAGUUUUCAGAUUACCUUCAACAAGAUAAUUUUACUCCUAAAAUCCGCUUUUAUGAAUUGUACCCCCAUCUACAUCUUUUUGAUAUUAAAAUUAUUAACUGUUGUUUAGAGUCUUUUAUAUUCUACAAAAAAAAACUUCCCAGUCUUUAAUUGACUCAAACCCUGUACCCAUACCAACGAUAAUAUCAGGAAUACAAUUCCAAAUUCUGGAUCUCUCCAGUUGAAAAGUUCAGUGCUCAGAAUACAAAGCCCAAAAGCUGUUGUUAGGGUGCACCGAGCUCUGCAAAGGAGGAGGUCAGGAGAAUUAGGCAGUAAAAGAAGCACUGCAAUUCACUUAUGCUCCUAUACAACAAUGUACAGUUUAAAAAAAAGGAUUAGGAAGACUGUCAGCUAGGAAGAAAAAAACAUUGAUCUGACAUUGAUCCCAUUGAUCUAAAUAGCCCAGCAAUGCAACCAAUGUCCUCAAAAUUCAAUGAUAAAAAUUUCAUACAAGUCAAAUUGGUUACUUUUUCUGAGAGACUAAUGUCAUGAACAGAAGACAAUGUCACAGCCAAACCUUCUUUGACAGUCAUUUUGCUAAACAUUGAAGAAUGCUGGUGAUAGAAUUGCUCAGCACAAUAAGAGGCUCUUGUACAAACAGCAUAUCAUCUUCACAGUUAUUGAAUUUCUGGGUAAUAUUUGUUUACUCUGUACCACAAGUUUGUCAGAGGAGAUUUUUUUUAAAUUGGAAAGUUUUGAUUACAUUUUACUUGCAAAUUGUAAAUAAUUAGUGCAUUUCCUUUAAAUUGUAUAUUGUAUUUCCGGUAUUCUAGAUCUGUUUGUUCAUUCAAUACAAUCAGAUCAGUGGAAAUGCAUGUUCAAAAAAUUAUUUUUGCACAGAAGCAUACACUCAAAUAUUAAUUACUUCAAUAUUCUGAAGCUUAUUAUUUAGACAUUAUUACAAUUCAGUAGGUACACUAUAAUAAACCUAAGGUACAGUUAUAACAUUUAAAAGACAUUUGGAUAAGUACACGAGUAGGACAGGUUUGGAGGGAUAUGAGCCAAAUGCAGAUAGGUGGGACUAGUUUAGUUUGGGAACAUGGUUGGCAUGGUUGAGCUGAAGGGUCUGCUUCCAUGAUGUAUGACUCUAUGACUAUUGUAUUUUACUGCAAGCCAGUAACCAAAGGAAAUAUGUUUCAAAGCCUUAAUCCAUCUACAGAACCCAAAUGAGGCAGCUCCAUGUAAGCAAGGUUAUGCUUCGCGUGCUUUGAUCCAUCUGCACUGAACUUUACUGUAUGAAAUAACAGGAAAACAGGCAAAAGAUCCAUUGAUGCAGCACAUUUUCUGCAAAUAGCCCAUAGGGAGUAAUCUGUUGAUUAGCAUGACAGUAGCGGCAAAAAAGGAGGAAUAAAUUCAGCUUCCUUUUUUUCUGCAAAUCUGAGCUUUGAUGUUGAUCGUAGUUAUAUAGAGGGCAAUGAUCUGAUAAGCAGUUGCAUUAUUCUCUGCAGUUAUUUCUAGCAAUUUUAACAAGCCAGCAGAAAAGUACCAAAAACAUUUUUAAUAAAUGCAGUGCCUGAUAGUCAACUGCUGGAUUCAAUUUUGCUUUGCAAGACCUGGUUUUCACAGUUUGUCUUUUUUUUAUGUCUUUGUUGCACAGGCUCUAUGACAAAUGUCCUUUGAACAUCACUGUUGUAAUUCCAUAUGUAUUACAUUGCACAUAUUCUGGGAAGAGAAUAUUUCUCUGAGAACGCAUUGAGACUGUGUUAUUUCUGAGGGUUUUUCAUUAUAUUUUAGAAUAUUACGGUAGUUACCACAGUAGUUAACCGCUUGCUUGCUGCACAGACAUACACACACUACACACCAGGACAAACUUGUGGCUCUUUAGUUGCUUGAUGCAAACUUCUGACAAAAUAAAAUCUUUCAUGAUCACAGUUCUACUCCAACAACUAAAAAGAAUCAUUUAUUUUGAUUGUAUUUGUCUUUUGAUUUUUAGCUAAUUAUGUAAAGGGACACUUGUACAAAGACCAGCAUCUUUCCUGCUGCUUUUGUACACAGAUGUACAGUAUAUACGUAACUAAAUCACCACUCGUUUUAAACUGGUGUGAACUCAGCUUGACAUUUGAUUAUAACCAUUGUAUUCAGCCAUUACUGUUAGCAGCUGCUCAUACUACAUACAAUUACUGGAAGUGAAUAUGUUUCCCUAUGCAAAAAAAGUUUAAAAAAAAUAAACAAGCUAUGCUACA